GAUGAACGCUGGCGGCGUGCUUAACACAUGCAAGUCGAACGAUGAAGCCCAGCUUGCUGGGUGUUUUAGUGGCGAACGGGUGAGUAACACGGGAGUAACCUGCCCUUAACUCUGUGAUAAGCCUGGGAGACGGGGUCUAAUACCUGAUAGCGGCGUCCACCGCAGGGUGGGUGUUGGAAAGAUUUAUCGGUUUUGGCUGGGCUCGCGGCCUAUCAGCUUGUUGGUGAGGUAAUGGCUCACCAAGGCGACGACGGGUAGCCGGCCUGAGAGGGUGACCGGCCACACUGGGACUGCGACACGGCCCAGACUCCUACGGGAGGCAGCAGUGGGGAACAUUGCACAAUGGGCGCAAGCCUGAUGCAGCGACGCCGCGUGAGGGAUGACGGCCUUCGGGUUGUAAACCUCUUUCAGUAGGGACGAAGCGAAAGUGACGGUACCUGCAGAAGAAGCACCGGCUAACUACGUG
rnacentral:rRNA from 1 species